GGAGAUGGAGGCUCAGGGCUGGGAGGGGCCGGGCUGGGGGGCAGUGGCGAAGGCGGAUGCGGACUAGGCGGCAUCGGCGACGGCGGCUCCGGAGAUGGAGGCUCAGGGCUGGGAGGGGCCGGGCUGGGGGGCAGUGGCGAAGGCGGAUGCGGACUAGGCGGCAUCGGUGACGGCGGCUCCGGAGAUGGAGGCUCAGGGCUGGGAGGGGCCGGGCUGGGGGGCAGUGGCGAAGACAGAUGCGGACUAGGCGGCAUCGGCGACGGCGGCUCCGGAGAUGGAGGCUCAGGGCUGGGAGGGGCCGGGCUGGGGGGCAGUGGCGAAGACAGAUGCGGACUAGGCGGCAUCGGUGACGGCGGCUCCGGAGAUGGAGGCUCAGGGCUGGGAGGGGCCGGGCUGGGGGGCAGAGGCGAAGGCGGAUGCGGACUAGGCGGCAUCGGCGACGGCGGCUCCGGAGAUGGAGGCUCAGGGCUGGGAGGGGCCGGGCUGGGGGGCAGUGGCGAAGGCGGAUGCGGACUAGGCGGCAUCGGCGACGGCGGCUCCGGAGAUGGAGGCUCAGGGCUGGGAGGGGCCGGGCUGGGGGGCAGAGGCGAAGGCGGAUGCGGACUAGGCGGCAUCGGCGACGGCGGCUCCGGAGAUGGAGGCUCAGGGCUGGGAGGGGCCGGGCUGGGGGGCAGUGGCGAAGGCGG
rnacentral:lncRNA from 1 species